AUAGAAACAGAUGGACAUGUGCUAAUUUUUGUGGUUUGGUUUGUUCUGUUUGAGCUCGGUGACAUUAACCAGUGUGAGAGCAGCAGCUGAUCACUAGUUUCUGCUUCUUUACUUCCAUAAAAUUAGGUAUCAGGAAGUCUCGAGUCUUUAACCGUCUGUCAUUAUUCGGUCAGUAUGGAGCUCAGUCAACUUCAUCUUGUGCUCCUGCUGAUUUCAAGCAUCCACUCUGCACACACUGAAG